rnacentral:tRNA from 1 species
GCCGGGAUGGUCUAGACGGUUAAGGCGUCGCCCCGGAUAGGCGAGGGUUGAGGGUUCAAUCCCCGCUCCUGGCC